rnacentral:lncRNA from 1 species
GAAGAACAUUCUUCAGGGAUGGAGAAGUACAUUUCAGAUGAAUUUAUUCCCUCAUAGUUUUUUAUUUAGAAGAGGAUGAAUUAAACUUACCACAGAAUGCUGGCUACUAACAUUUUUUCUGGGGCAUCUUUUGGAAAAAGAUGCAGCUGAAGGCAGAAUGACUCCCAGAUUUGCUGUUGCAAGCUCUCCACCUCGCUCUGUUACAGGACAGAUAAACACAGGCUGAGGGGCUCUUUCCCUGCCAUUUUCUCCUGGUAGUUUUUCCCUCUAUUUGGAUUCCACGAUAUGAUAUAUGAAGUGAAAUCAAUAAUCCUCACUUUUCAGGUUAAGGGCACAGCUGAAUAAAUAAUUCAUAAGUCAUUGGAUCA